rnacentral:misc_RNA from 1 species
AUUAGACUCUAUUUGCUAGAGUAUAUUAAAAAGUUAGCAGUUACUGUGCUUUGCAUUAGGAGCUUAAAAGGAUUUAGUUUCUUUCUAGAAAAAGUAACAUCGAUGGUCUUACCUUUCUUAGUUUUAUUGAUAUACUUUUACUGUUUCGUAGUGAUGAAUGUUGAGGUUCAAGAAAUAAUGUUGUUCCUUCUGUGUUUAUCCUAUAUUUGAAUCACUAUAUUGCAUUCGUAAUCAUUAUAUUCUUCUCCACGUUAUUUAAGUUGGUUGACAUAGCAUGUCCUCUCCAGGUUGAAUGUAAU